UUAAGUGACUAAGCGUACAAGGUGGAUGCCUUGGCAAUCAGAGGCGAAGAAGGACGUGCUAAUCUGCGAAAAGCUUGGAUGAGUCGAUAAGAGGCGUUUAAUCCAAGAUAUCCGAAUGGGGAAACCCAGUAGAUGAAGAAUCUACUAUCAACAAGUGAAUUCAUAGCUUGUUGAGGCAAACCGGGAGAACUGAAACAUCUAAGUACCCCGAGGAAAAGAAAUCAACCGAGAUUUCGUCAGUAGCGGCGAGCGAAAGCGAAAGAGCCAGUAAGUGAUAGCAAUAUAGUGAGGAGAAUGUGUUGGGAAACACAAUCAAAGAGGGUGAUAAUCCCGUAUCUAAAAACCAUAUUGUGGUACUAAGCUAACGAGAAGUAGGGCGGGACACGUGAUAUCCUGUUUGAAGAAGGGGGGACCAUCCUCCAAGGCUAAAUACUCCUGAUUGACCGAUAGUGAACCAGUACUGUGAAGGAAAGGCGAAAAGAACCCCGGUGAGGGGAGUGAAAUAGAACCUGAAACCUUGUACGUACAAGCAGUGGGAGCCCCAUCACUUAAUCCGAUUGGAAGGUGAUGAAAAGCAACCGCACUUAAACAAUGGUGAGAGGAGCGAAGCGAGUCAAACCACCCAAAAGAAGCAGUGGGAUUAAGUGAUGGGGUGACUGCGUACCUUUUGUAUAAUGGGUCAGCGACUUAUAUUUUGUAGCGAGGUUAACCGAAUAGGGGAGCCGAAGGGAAACCGAGUCUUAACUGGGCGAAUAGUUGCAAGGUAUAGACCCGAAACCCGGUGAUCUAGCCAUGGGCAGGUUGAAGGUUGGGUAACACUAACUGGAGGACCGAACCGACUAAUGUUGAAAAAUUAGCGGAUGACUUGUGGCUGGGGGUGAAAGGCCAAUCAAACCGGGAGAUAGCUGGUUCUCCCCGAAAUCUAUUUAGGUAGAGCCUUGAGGUGACACCUUUGGGGGUAGAGCACUGUUUCGGCUAGGGGGCCAUCCCGGCUUACCAACCCGAUGCAAACUACGAAUACCAAAGAGUGAUACUCAGGAGACACACGGCGGGUGCUAACGUCCGUCGUGGAGAGGGAAACAACCCAGACCGCCAGCUAAGGUCCCCAAGUCUAUAUUAAGUGGGAAACGAAGUGGGAAGGCUUAGACAGCUAGGAUGUUGGCUUAGAAGCAGCCAUCAUUUAAAGAAAGCGUAAUAGCUCACUAGUCGAGUCGGCCUGCGCGGAAGAUGUAACGGGGCUGAAAUAUAGCACCGAAGCUGCGGCAUCAGAAUUUAUUCUGUUGGGUAGGGGAGCGUUGUGUAAGCGGAAGAAGGUUCAUCGAGAGGUGGGCUGGACGUAUCACAAGUGCGAAUGCUGACAUAAGUAACGAUAAAACGGGUGAAAAACCCGUUCGCCGGAAGACCAAGGGUUCCUGUCCAACGUUAAUCGGGGCAGGGUGAGUCGGCUCCUAAGGCGAGGCUGAAAAGCGUAGUCGAUGGGAAACAGGUUAAUAUUCCUGUACUUGGUAAAGCUGCGAUGUGGGGACGGAGUAGGUUAGGUUAUCGCACUGUUGGAUAUGUGCGUUUAAGUUGGUAGGUGGGAAGUUUAGGCAAAUCCGGACUUCCUUAACACAGAGAGAUGAUGACGAGGCUCUACGGAGCUGAAGUAACUGAUACCACACUUCCAGGAAAAGCCACUAAGCGAAAGGCUUUACUAAACCGUACUGAAAACCGACACAGGUGGUCAGGUAGAGAAUACUCAGGCGCUUGAGAGAACUCGGGUGAAGGAACUAGGCAAAAUAGCACCGUAACUUCGGGAGAAGGUGCGCCGGCGUAGAUUGUAAGGGCUAGCCCCUGAAGGUUGAACCGGUCGAAGUGACCCGCUGGCUGCAACUGUUUAUUAAAAACACAGCACUCUGCAAACACGAAAGUGGACGUAUAGGGUGUGAUGCCUGCCCGGUGCUGGAAGGUUAAUUGAUGGUGUCAUCGAAAGAGAAGCACCUGAUCGAAGCCCCAGUAAACGGCGGCCGUAACUAUAACGGUCCUAAGGUAGCGAAAUUCCUUGUCGGGUAAGUUCCGACCUGCACGAAUGGCAUAAUGAUGGCCAGGCUGUCUCCACCCGAGACUCAGUGAAAUUGAAAUCGCCGUGAAGAUGCGGUGUACCCGCGGCUAGACGGAAAGACCCCGUGAACCUUUACUAUAGCUUGACACUGAACAUUGAAUUUUGAUGUGUAGGAUAGGUGGGAGACUUAGAAGUAGGAACGCCAGUUUCUAUGGAGUCAUCCUUGAAAUACCACCCUUUAACGUUUGAUGUUCUAACGAAGACUACGGAACGUGGUCUCGGACAGUGUCUGGUGGGUAGUUUGACUGGGGCGGUCUCCUCCCAAAGCGUAACGGAGGAGCACGAAGGUUUGCUAAUCACGGUCGGACAUCGUGAGGUUAGUGCAAUGGUAUAAGCAAGCUUAACUGCGAGACAGACAAGUCGAGCAGGUACGAAAGUAGGUCAUAGUGAUCCGGUGGUUCUGAAUGGAAGGGCCAUCGCUCAACGGAUAAAAGGUACUCCGGGGAUAACAGGCUGAUACCGCCCAAGAGUUCAUAUCGACGGCGGUGUUUGGCACCUCGAUGUCGGCUCAUCACAUCCUGGGGCUGAAGUAGGUCCCAAGGGUAUGGCUGUUCGCCAUUUAAAGUGGUACGCGAGCUGGGUUUAGAACGUCGUGAGACAGUUCGGUCCCUAUCUGCCGUGGGCGUUGGAUGAUUGAUUGGGGCUGCUCCUAGUACGAGAGGACCGGAGUGGACGCAUCACUGGUGUUCCGGUUGUGUCGCCAGACGCAUUGCCGGGUAGCUAAAUGCGGAAGAGAUAAGUGCUGAAAGCAUCUAAGCACGAAACUUGCCAAGAGAUGAGUCAUCCCUGACUUUAAGUCAGUAAGGGUUGUUGUAGACUACGACGUAGAUAGGUUGGGUGUGUAAGUGAUGUGAGUCAUUGAGCUAACCAAUACUAAUUGCCCGAGAGGCUUAACUAU
rnacentral:rRNA from 1 species